rnacentral:rRNA from 1 species
CCUACGGGUGGCAGCAGUGGGGAAUAUUGCACAAUGGGGGAAACCCUGAUGCAGCGACGCCGCGUGAGCGAUGAAGUCUCUCCGUAUGUAAAGCUCUAUCAGCAGGGAAGAAGAUUACGGUACCUGACUAAUAAUCCCCGUCUAACUUCGUUCCAGCUGCCGCGGUAAUACGUAGGGGGCCAGCGUUAUCCGGAUUUACUGGGUGUAAAGGGAGCGUAGACGGGGAUGCAAGCCAGGUGUGAAAGCCCGGGGCCCAACCCCGGGACUGCAUUUGGAACUGUGUGGCUGGAGUGUCGGUGAGGCAGGCGGAAUUCCGAGUGUAGCGGUGAAAUGCGUAGAUAUUAGGAGGAACACCAGUGGCGAAGGCAGCCUGCUGGACGAUGACUGACGUUGAGGCUCGAAAGCGUGGGGAGCAAACAGGAUUAGAUACCCCAGUAGUC